CAACGAUCGGACGACAGUGGCAGUUACUGUACAUUGGGAGAGAGAGAUUUUUCUUCUGUGCUGUAGCCCCCAAGUAAACUGCCCAUGUUUCUGUAAAUAAUUUCUCAACCACGCUCCUGAAUGGACAGCUGAGGACCACCAGAUGCCUGGGGAGCAUCUCUUAGAAAACUAAGACUUGGAAGGACAAACCAGAAAGCAAGGCAGGAAGUUGAGUGGCUUUGUUUUGCUGUGUGCUCUGGCCGUAAUGUGCCACUCCAGACCCCGAGCAAUGAGAAGAAUGAUGCAUGAACUGACGCCUCCAAAGCUCUGAGCCCAAAUAAACCUUCUCUGCCAAUAAGCUGAGUCUGGAGGCUUGCUAACACGAUGGAAGGCUGACUGAUGACAUGUUUGUCUACUGGGAGGAAGGCACAGAAAAGGACUCCCUGGGGCCAGAGCCAUCCUAGCAUCAAAUAUUGCUGAGAAACCUAGAGAUGCUUGAAGCCCACAGCAGAUCUCCCAGAAAGGUGAGAUCUUUGCUGGAACCCAUAGAUGGGGCAUGAAGUCAGUGUUCAAAUGAUGACCUUUGGCCUUGAGAGGAGCCAUAAAAGUCGCCACUGGCAAGAUGUUAAAAGAAGUCUGUUGCAUACAUUCUUAUUUAGCACCAGAGAUAUUGGAGGGCCUGGGGUAUCACAGACUUCCCAUCAACACAUGAAGCCUUGGCAUACUGAUUUACACUAUGGUCACUGGGUUCACAUUAUACAAGGCACCAAACCCCUCAGAUCUGCACCAGCUGAUCACAGGUACUCAAGGCCACCAAGCAUGUGAAAAACUGGGAAAUCUUUAUAUCCUAUUUGCCUGUUGUAAGUUCUGGGGACAGGAUAACCAUAGACCAACUCAUGGAGCACCUAAGGCUAUGUCUCCGUGAUGAAGCUUUGUCACCAGCCCCUCACAGAAAUCAUCCCAAUAAUUCCAACCACCAAGAUUGUGGAAGCCAUGGGCACCGUGAGCUACAAAGUCCAAGAAAUCGUGGAACCUGUAGGAAAGAGAAAGCCUAAUGAAGUCUCAGCAGCAUGCACUCUACUGAAAUACUGAUUAAGCCAUGGGCACGUUUUCAUCAAACAGGAAAGUUUGUGAAGUGUCAUUCAAACAUGGGCCCUGCAGGUCCUCUCCCCUCCUCUUCCCUCUUAAUUUCAUCUCAUCUCGGAAGAGCCAACUGCAAGAGGUGGAUGAAAAAGGAAGGGGCAAGGGCUGCUCGAGGUCUAGCUUACCUGACCUAUUAUGCCGCUGUCCUUCUAAUCCAGCCUCACAAGAUAUUGCUGUGGAUGCCAGUAGCAUCCGCAGUGCUAUGGAGAUCAGUAUUGACUUGAGAUUCAGUGAAACAUCGCCUGAUGAUAUAGCCUCCAUGGAGCCUCCCCAGGAUGGGAAAACCAAAGAUGAGAAUGACAGGGCCAGGUCCCCUGAGGAACCAUCACUGGGUCCUAUCAUCAGCAACCACCAGCCUCAGUUGCACCCACAGCCUCCAGCACCACUAGACGAAGGGAUGAAAGGAGGAGAGGAGGCACACUGUUCACUUGCUUCAUACUCCAUGUUGUUGCCCUCCCUAUCUUGCAUUUCCCAGGAGUAGAAACAACCCCAGGUCUGUGGUCAUCAAACCACAGGGCUGGGGUCAGCCUGGUAUGGACUGACAGCUACAGGAAGGAGCCAAGCCAGAACUCCAGGAGACUGUAUGCUCAAAUGCCUGUUGCCAGACAGACUCCCCUGGGAAUCAGGGCACAAGCUCCUCCACCCCUCCCCUAGCUGCCGGGUCUGAGCUAACAGCUCCUGCCUCCUUUAGUACACUGGGUCUCCAAUACUGUUGUCCGGAGAAGGACAUGGUCCACAUGGCUUCCACCUUAUGAAGCUACAUUCCUCCAGUAUAGAUGGGAUGGAACACCCACAGUGAAAGAACUGAGUGCCCCACUGGACUCAAGGACCUUCAUCAGCUUGAUCCCUCAUCCUCACCAACAUUAUCACUAACUGCUGCAGAAACUAUUUUCCAUCCUCUAAGCACCAAAGGUGUUGGUUUCCCAUCCCAGGAUUCCAGAAACUGGUAGAAGUUUUCCUAUCCCGCUGAGAGAUUUCUUGACCGUCAUUUUGACUAGGCUUUUGAGUUUUUUUCUGUGACACCUAGGCAGGGUAAGAAGAUAUUCAGACCUGGGACCCAGCAUUGCUUCCACAAGCCUGGCAGCUGUGAGACUACUUUGUGCCCAGUGUCUCUGGGAUCAGGCUUAAAAGGAAAGCUUGAUCCCUACGUAGCUGCUGACGUCAGCCAUUGAUGCUGCAAAGAUCCCUGCUGGGUGAGGUGUUGGGUGGGGUGUCUGGAGUGUUCUCCUGGGCACCUUCCAGGUAGGAAUCGGCUACCAGAGUCAGCAGGGGAGUUAAUCUGUGGGCAUCACGCCACUGAACAUCAUGUUAAUUCUGCCGUGUGUCUGCUUCUGGUAGAAGAUGUUUCUGAAGCCUCAUCCUGUCUUAACAUCUGCCCAAGUGAAGAGAAGGGGGGAUCAGGUGGCUGAUCUCAUCCUCCCCACAGCAGAGGGAAAGAUGUCACUGGAUUUCUUUUCUGAGGAACCUGCGAUGACUGAGAAACUGCUAAGGUGUGGCUAGGUGUGAUCUGUUAGGCUAGGCAGCAGGUCUCCUGAUCACGGUGGAACACUGGGUCACAUUGAGAGUGGCCAAAUCAUCUUCUCACUAGCACGGCCUGGAGGCCAUGCUAUCACCUGCCAGCCACUGCAUGGCAUCACGCUCUAGGACCUGACCACCAUGUGAUUCCCAUAUGGCCCCACAUGGGACACGUGGCCAGUGACACUGAGCAUCUUGCUUGUGGGGUCAGAGCAGGUUUUGGGUGUGUGGGUGUUCACUGGGGCAGACCUUUGCUGCUUCUUUGGAUUAAUGAAGCCAGGGCAGGGAAGCGGGGUGGGUUCUGUGGCCCUCUUAGGAAUGAGUGAGGGGAAUGCGGGUCCUGGAUGGGAGAGAGGGUUAUUCUUUGGGCUUUACGGACGUGCUCUCCAGGGGGCUGGCAUGCUUUGUUAUGUCAUGACCAUGGACAUGCUUCCCUGUAGUCAAGGAACAUCAGGAACCAUUUACUGCAAAAGAACAUAGAAUUUGAGUUCAUGUCCCUCUGGCCUCCUUACUUGGUCUGCACACUCCGCCCACCCAUUCUUACAGGACAUUGGCAUGUCAUUGAAAACUGUUAUUUCAAUGGCCGCUGUUACCCUUUGUGCUGGUCCUGUGGGAAGGGUCCCUUGUUCAGUGGGUGGCACCCAGCCCAUGGCCACAAGCCUCAGGAUGGAUGGAGCCUUCUUUAGGUCUGGGCCAAAUGCAGUUCUCAAGUGUGAAGACAGUCAGCUGAUUCCCUGAAUUCUUUCUCUCUUUCUCUGCAAGGAUCGCCCUUCCUUGUUGCAGAGGACAGAGGUGUCCAGGCAGCCUUAAACUUUCUGCCCAUUCUCCAGACAGACUUUUGGCUUGCUACCUGAGAGCAGAGAAUUAGCUUCUCCAGACAACCUCGAAAGGGUUUGAGAAUGUGUCCUCUGCAGAGCCCCGCAAAGUCAAUGAAUAACUGUGCCUGCCCUCUGGACAGAUCACCCGGGGAAGGGCGGUGUCUCCCUCCCUCCUGUCCCAGGACACUGCUAAUGGGAAUAUGAGGAACUUGAGAACAUCCAUAUGGACAAUCUCUCGUUGGCCUUCUCAGGACUUGGUCUGCCCUGAAGGAGCCACAGCUCAGUCAGGCUGCAUUUGAGAUCACAAGUUUUAACAAAACACAGAGCACAGUAGCUGAUGCAUGCUAUUGGUGACUACCCGGAUGGUUUGGAAGACACUGUAAACGAACUCCAAGGGCUCUCAUGUCCAUGAGUGCCAAGACAAAUCAGGCAGAUGGUGGUACACAAAGAGAUGGAAAGAUUGAAUAAUUGCAGCAGGGGUAGUGACACAGUUCGGAAACCUCGUUUUGUGAGGACUGCUGUUACCCUUUGUUCUCAUCCCCCAAGAAGAGGGCCUGGCGUCAGGGAUGGUGCUCAGCUCGCAGCUCACAACGGAACCCCCAUCUCCAGGGAAUGGUCAACUGCCCUGCAUGAGUGGGACAGUGCAUGGCUGUUUCCAUGUACUGCUUCGCUUUUCUCUGCAGGGGUCUGUCUCCCCACUCGCAGAGCACAGAGGUGUCCAGGUGGUACUAACUGCCCCCACACAUUCCCCAGGCUCCUUUCUGCUGCUACAGGACACCCUCCGUUGGGGUACAUUCCGUCAGGUCUCAAGUUUCUUCCCGCCCUGGAAUGCCUGCAAACCAAACGGGAAACAGUAGUAUCAUUAGACAUGCCAAACUCUGAGCUCCUCUCAUUGUGAGGUUUAUCCUCUUUGCAUUUUUUUUUUAGUUAGAUCCCAUUUGCUUAGUAAAACUUUCCCAGAAAAAACAAACAAACAAAAAACAAAAAACCAACCACCCUUUGUCCUAAGGAAUGAAGACAAUGAAGUAGAAACAUGGAACAAACUGUCUAGGUCUUGUGUGGGUCUCCUCCAGGAAUCCUGUGAGUCACAGGGUUCCCCUCUCUAUACUGCUGCUGCGUGCACACAGUUCGGAGUCGUCUAUCCCACAGUGUCCUCCGAUGUAGUCAGGCCAUAAUCUAGGGAGUGGCUGUAGCUUGGGCCACAGCACAUCAACCUUUCUUGUACCUUUGGAAGUGCAAAUGAGAGGUGCCAGUUCAUUAGACCCAUGCUGCUAGGUAUGGUGUGCAGGGUGCUGUGGAGUCCUAGACAGGCUGGAGACUGGACCACGGACAGAAACCUCAGAAACCGGGGCCCAAAUCACUCUUCCAUGGUUGUAAGUUGAAUACCUCAGGAUUUGUACAUUGAAGGAAGGCUGACUAGCAUACUUGUCUCCUUGGAGGAAGAAGGCAUUGUAUGGAAUUUCCCUCCAAAUAGCUUAAAGAAGAGACUCUGAGUGGUGCAAAUGCAGAGAAGAAGGGGUUUGGACUGUGCAGGGAGCCCCAGGUCUGCAGCCUCUGUGGACUGUCACCCAAGUUUGGGUGGGCUUUCCGGUGAUAGAAAUUGCUAGAGUCAUUGCUGUACCUUGUGCAGAACCUCUCAUCAAUAUUCCCGGUCGUAACCCCAAUAAAACCUCAUUGUCUCACCAACUAGAA